GCGUGGUGGGGUCCUGGGCCAUGGCUGGGGCGCCUAGGAGGUACCGUAAUACACCUAAUAGACACUGUACAGCGCCCAGCGCAGGGGAGUCCUAGGCCACGGCUGGGGUGCCUAGGACCUAACAGGCACUGUACAGUGCAAGGCGUUGUCCCCCAGAGGGAGAUCAUGCUGCAGACAGAAAGCAUGACAGAUGGGCGGGAGAAGGUGCUUAUGAAAGACAGAAUGAGGGUGACAGCGGAGAACAGGGCCUGACAGUGAUGACGGAAGGGAGGCCUGAGCGUGAGACAUGUGCGA